AUGCCAGAUGCACUGUAUAUACCAAAAUUACUUGCUCCUGGAAGCAACAGAAUUCCAACCUCCAGCAUCAUGGAUGCAUCAGUCCUCAUGACUAAUUUAGGAGAUCCUUCGAGCUGCAGUGAGAGUCAUGCUGCGUGGUAAAUGUGAAGAAAUACAACUGAAGAAAUACACACCUUUUCAGGAUGAAUCUACAGGUAUGUCACAGAAGGCAACAUUCCA
rnacentral:lncRNA from 1 species